GUAGCCCAAUUGGAAGAGGCGGCUGUCUCAAAAACAGUCUGUGUGUGGGUUCAAAUCCCACGCCUGAGUACCA
rnacentral:tRNA from 1 species